UACGAAGGGGGCUAGCGUUGCUCGGAAUGACUGGGCGUAAAGGGCGCGUAGGCGGAAUGCUUUGUCGGGCGUGAAAUUCCAGGGCUCAACCUUGGGGCUGCGUUCGAGACGGGUAUUCUUGAGUUCGGAAGAGGGUCGUGGAAUUCCCAGUGUAGAGGUGAAAUUCGUAGAUAUUGGGAAGAACACCGGUGGCGAAGGCG
rnacentral:rRNA from 1 species